rnacentral:rRNA from 1 species
UACGUAGGGUGCGAGCGUUAAUCGGAAUUACUGGGCGUAAAGCGUGCGCAGGCGGUUUUGUAAGCCAGAUGUGAAAUCCCCGGGCUUAACCUGGGAAUGGCAUUUGGGACUGCAAGGCUUGGGUUUGGCAGAGGAGACUGGAAUUCCUGGUGUAGCAGUGAAAUGCGUAGAUAUCAGGAGGAAUACCGAUGGCGAGGGCAGGUCUCUGGGCUAGAACUGACGCUCAUGCACGAAAGCGUGGGGAGCAAACAGG